AACUCCGUAGCUCAGCUGGGUAGAGCAUCCCGGCUUGCACGAUUUUCAUGAAAAUCCAGAGACCCGGGAGGGCCCCAGGUUCGAGUCCUGGCGGGG
rnacentral:tRNA from 1 species